GGUGGCAUGACUGAGUGGUUUAAGGUAUGAUAUUUGAGCUAUCACGGUGAACAACCCGCGUGUUCGAAUCACGCUGCCUCCG